rnacentral:rRNA from 1 species
GAUGAACGCUGGCGGCGUGCUUAACACAUGCAAGUCGAACGGAAAGGCCCUGCUUUUGUGGGGUGCUCGAGUGGCGAACGGGUGGGUAACACGUGAGUAACCUGCCCUUGACUUUGGGAUAACUUCAGGAAACUGGGGCUAAUACCGGAUAGGAGCUCCUGCUGCAUGGUGGGGGUUGGAAAGUUUCGGCGGUUGGGGAUGGACUCGCGGCUUAUCAGCUUGUUGGUGGGGUAGUGGCUUACCAAGGCUUUGACGGGUAGCCGGCCUGAGAGGGUGACCGGCCACAUUGGGACUGAGAUACGGCCCAGACUCCUACGGGAGGCAGCAGUGGGGAAUAUUGCACAAUGGGCGGAAGCCUGAUGCAGCAACGCCGCGUGCGGGAUGACGGCCUUCGGGUUGUAAACCGCUUUCGCCUGUGACGAAGCGUGAGUGACGGUAAUGGGUAAAGAAGCACCGGCUAACUACGUG